rnacentral:lncRNA from 1 species
AUGGCUUCCACGGCCAGAUCUUGCAGGAGCAGCAUGUACUUGAGCUUCUUGCCGUACUUGGCCCGCAGCUCGGUGACCACGGCCUUGGCCACUGUCUUGCUGCUCACAUCCGGCAGCUGCGACUCGGUGACGGGGAAUCCCUCCAUCGUCUUGUUCACCAGCCGCUGGAUGUGGCCGAGCAGCAUCUCCAUGUUGGACUCCUUCAGCGCGCAGCACUUCUUCAAGACCUGCGUGGUCAUCAAGACGACGAACUCACGGAGCUGCUUCUCCGCCUUCGUAAAUUUACUUUUAGGCUCUCCCCCUGUUUUGUCCUCCACAAUCUUGGAAUUGGAUUUGUUCUCCACAAUCUCUCUAUUUGUUUGGUUCUCCACGAUCUCUCUAUUUGUUUGGUUCUCCACGAUCUCUCUAUUUGUUUGGUUCUCCACGAUCUCUCUAUUUGUUUGGUUCUCCACGAUCUCUCUAUUUGUUUGGUUCUCCACAAUCUCUGUAUUUGUUUGGUUCUCCACAAUCUCUCUAUUUGUUUGGUUCUCCACAAUCUCUGUAUUUGUUUGGUUCUCCACAAUCUCUUAUUUGUUUGGUUCUCCACAAUCUCUGUAUUUGUUUGGUUCUCCACAAUCUCUGUAUUUGUUUGGUUCUCCACAAUCUCUGUAUUUGUUUGGUUCUCCACAAUCUCUUAUUUGUUUGGUUCUCCACAAUCUCUUAUUUGUUUGGUUCUCCACAAUCUCUGUAUUUGUUUGGUUCUCCACAAUCUCUCUAUUUGUUUGGUUCUCCACAAUCUCUGUAUUUGUUUGGUUCUCCACAAUCUCUGUAUUUGUUUGGUUCUCCACAAUCUCUGUAUUUGUUUGGUUCUCCACAAUCUCUCUAUUUGUUUGGUUCUCCACAAUCUCUUAUUUGUUUGGUUCUCCACAAUCUCUGUAUUUGUUUGGUUCUCCACAAUCUCUGUAUUUGUUUGGUUCUCCACGAUCUCUGUAUUUGUUUGGUUCUCCACAAUCUCUCUAUUUGUUUGGUUCUCCACAAUCUCUCUAUUUGUUUGGUUCUCCACAAUCUCUCUAUUUGUUUGGUUCUCCACAAUCUCUGUGUCAGUUUGGUACACCAUAA